GGCAAGGCCUCUCGGGAAAUGUAGUUCUUUAGGGGACGAGGUGCAGGGAACUUACCUUUCCAGAGUCCCCAAGUUGCGGGACAGCACCCGCCUGCCCCCUCCAGGAAGAGGCCCAGAGUUCCCAACCCUUCACUCCUUGCUCUGGGCCACCAGCCCAUUUUCCUCUAGUGCAAUGUGAACCACAAGAACAUCUCAGAUUCACACAAAGGAGGGAGUCCGAGUCCCUUUGACCAAACUAAAAUCAGAGCUCCAGCUUCACAUGAAUAUCAGUGGCUUUGGCAGCAGGAAGAGCAUCCCUAGACUGUGCGUGAGGAGUCCAGACGGUACACUUGGUUCCUGGGAUCCAGCUUCACUGGGGUAUGAGAAGAGACAGAAGAGGAGAAGACACAGAGAAGGCCAUGUAAAAAUGGAGGCAGAUAUUGGAGUCAUGUAGCCAUAAGCCAAGUGAUCCCUGGAGCCACCAGAAGAUAGAAGAAACAAGGAUGGAUUCUGUCAGGGGGUUGUCCAGAGGGAGCACCAACACCUUGAUUUUAGACUUCUGAACUUAAGAAAUCAGAAAAUAAAUGUCUGUUAUUUUAAGCCACCUUGUUUGUGGUACUUUGUUGUAGCAGCCCUGGAAAAUGAAUACCACCAGAUGCUGGAGACAACCCAGUGUGACUGUCUAGCAAGAUCAGAAUGACCAAUAUUGAUUAUAAGACCCUGAAUAAAUAAACAUUCAAGAAUCCAUAAUGAAACUCAAAAGAAUGCUUUGUGAUGUCCUAGAAAAUUGUUGUUUCAAGGGCCAUGUGAAAACUGCAACUCCUGCCGUUAUUGAUGUUAAAUACUUAUCAAACAAUUCUACCAUUCCUCAUUGUUGGGCUUAUACCCAGCACAGGGCCAGGGUCAGCAGUCAAUCACUAUUUGU